rnacentral:rRNA from 1 species
AACGUAGCAAUACGUGGCACACGGCUCAGUAACACGUAGUCAACAUAACCAGAGGACGUGGAUAAACUCGGGAAACUGAGGCUAAACCGCGAUAGACCAAGAUACCUGGAAUGGUUUUUGAUCAAAAUCUACAUGGCCUUUGGAUUGGACUGCGACCGAUCAGGCUGUUGGUGAGGUAAUGGCCCACCAAACCUGUAACCGGUACGGGCUCUGAGAGGAGGAGCCCGGAGAUGGGUACUGAGAAAAGGACCCAGGCCCUAUGGGGCGCAGCAGGCGCGAAACCUCUGCAAUAGGCGAAAGCCUGACAGGGUUAUUCUGAGUGACUUUCGCUAAGAAAGUCUUUUGACAUCUCUAAAAAUGGUGUAGAAUAAGGGGUGGGCAAGUCUGGUGUCAGCCGCCGCGGUAAUACCAGCACCCCGAGUGGUCGGGACGAUUAUUGGGCCUAAAGCAUCCGUAGCCGGUUUUACAAGUCCUCCGUUAAAUCCAACUGCUUAACAGAUGGGCCGCGGAGGAUACUAUAAGACUAGGAGGCAGGAGAGGCAAGCGGUACUCAGUGGGUAGGGGUAAAAUCCGUUGAUCCAUUGAAGACCACCAGUGGCGAAGGCGGCUUGCCAGAAUGCGCUCGACGGUGAGGGAUGAAAGCUGGGGGAGCAAACCGGAUUAGAUACCCGGGUAGUCCCAGCUGUAAACGAUGCAGACUCGGUGAUGGACUAGCUUAAUGCUAGUCCAGUGCCGCAGGGAAGCCGUUAAGUCUGCCGCCU